UACGGAGGGUGCAAGCGUUAUUCGGAUUCACUGGGUUUAAAGGGUGCGUAGGCGGACAGGUAAGUCAGUGGUGAAAUCUCUGGGCUUAACUCAGAAACUGCCGUUGAUACUAUUUGUCUUGAAUAUCUUGGAGGUAAGCGGAAUAUGUCAUGUAGCGGUGAAAUGCUUAGAUAUGACAUAGAACACCGAUAGCGAAGGCAGCUUACUACAGGAAGAGUGACGCUGAGGCGCGAAAGCGUGGGGAGCAAACAGG
rnacentral:rRNA from 1 species